GAAAUUGCUUGAUUUCUGACAUAAUCCCACAAUAUAUUGGGACAAUGACAAAUCUGAAAUCCUUAUAACUUACCUUUAACAAUUUGACAGGAGAAAUUCCAAGCAGCUUUUCAAGACUCUCAGCGCUAGAUUAUAUGUAUCUUACUAGCAACAUGCUGACUGGGGUCAUACCCUCUUGGGUCCGAGGUAGCAACCAUUACUUGCCUUUCAGAUUCCUACUGGGUUAUUAUUUUUUCCACUCCUGAAAAGGCAUAAACAUAGCAUUGCAUGAUGCUGUCUUGCACGGACUUAUCUUACAACAAUUUUACCAGGCCUGAUAUAACCCAAUGCUCAGCAGGAAACUUGUAAGAACAAUAAUUUUCCACACUUUGUUUGUUUUC